rnacentral:pre_miRNA from 1 species
AGCCCCUUGAAUCCGUGCUGAGGUUUCGUCAGACACCAGCCCAUUAGGACUGAUCAAACUUCCAAGAUAAGUGAAAUU